rnacentral:rRNA from 1 species
UACGUAGGGGGCAAGCGUUGUCCGGAUUUAUUGGGCGUAAAGAGCGUGUAGGUGGUUUGGUAGGUCCGCUGUGAAAACUCGAGGCUCAACCUCGAGACGCCGGUGGAAACCAUCAGACUAGAGUCCGGAAGAGGAGAGUGGAAUUCCUGGUGUAGCGGUGAAAUGCGCAGAUAUCAGGAAGAACACCCGUGGCUAAGGCGGCUCUCUAGUACGGUACUGACGCUGAGACGCGAAAGCGUGGGGAGCGAACAGG